GCGAGUGGCGAACGGGUGAGUAAUAUAUCGGAACGUGCCCAGUCGUGGGGGAUAACGUAGAGAAAUUUACGCUAAUACCGCAUACGAUCUAAGGAUGAAAGCGGGGGACCGUAAGGCCUCGCGCGAUUGGAGCGGCUGAUAUCAGAUUAGGUUAUUGGUGAGGUAAAAGCUCACCAAGCCGACGAUCUGUAGCUGGUUUGAGAGAACGACCAGCCACACCGGGACUGAGACACGGCCCAGACUCCUACGGGAGGCAGCAGUGGGGAAUUUUGGACAAUGGGCGAAAGCCUGAUCCAGCAAUGCCGCGUGCAGGAAGAAGGCCUUCGGGUUGUAAACUGCUUUUGUACGGAACGAAAAGGUCUGCCCUAAUACGGCGGGCCCAUGACGGUACCGUAAGAAUAAGCGCCGGCUAACUACGUGCCAGCAGCCGCGGUAAUACGUAGGGUGCGAGCGUUAAUCGGAAUUACUGGGCGUAAAGCGUGCGCA
rnacentral:rRNA from 1 species